GACGAACGCUGGCGGCGUGCCUAAUACAUGCAAGUAGAACGCUGAAGGAGGAGCUUGCUCUUCUGGAUGAGUUGCGAACGGGUGAGUAACGCGUAGGUAACCUGCCUGGUAGCGGGGGAUAACUAUUGGAAACGAUAGCUAAUACCGCAUAAGAGUAGAUGUUGCAUGACAUUUGCUUAAAAGGUGCAAUUGCAUCACUACCAGAUGGACCUGCGUUGUAUUAGCUAGUUGGUGGGGUAACGGCUCACCAAGGCGACGAUACAUAGCCGACCUGAGAGGGUGAUCGGCCACACUGGGACUGAGACACAGCCCAGACUCCUACGGGAGGCAGCAGUAGGGAAUCUUCGGCAAUGGACGGAAGUCUGACCGAGCAACGCCGCGUGAGUGAAGAAGGUUUUCGGAUCGUAAAGCUCUGUUGUAAGAGAAGAACGAGUGUGAGAGUGGAAAGUUCACACUGUGACGGUAUCUUACCAGAAAGGGACGGCUAACUACGUG
rnacentral:rRNA from 1 species